rnacentral:rRNA from 1 species
UCCACCCCAGCCGUCAAACGAACCUUAGCCCCUUUCUCCUUCCCCUCGAUCCCAACGAGCCGUCGCACCCCUCUCUCUCUACCUCCCACUGCAUCCUUUCCUCGCCCGCUGCCGCCGGCCUUGUCUCUACACCAGCCUCCUCCUCUCCUCUACAUCAUGUCGUGGUUGAUCCCAUCGCUGGCCUUCUCCACUGCUUGCCUUCCUCUUCCAUGUCGCUGUCAAUCCAGAUCGGACGUAGGUCAUCGUCGUGGGAGAGCAGCGGCAGCGGGGUCUUCAUGGUGCGGGUGAGGAUGUAGGGGAGGGGUAGGAUGCGGACGACAAGGAGAAGGAGGAGGCUGGCGAGGAAGGGAAGCAACAGCGAGGAAGGAGCAGGUGAGCGAUCCUAGCAGGGGGAAGGGGCAGGGUGAGACCUCGCUGGCAGGUCGACUUGUCGCGCCACUGUGUCGUCACCUCCUCUGCGCCAUUAGAGGCGCCACCUCUGCGUCCACCCCCACUAGGCAAGGAGCUCGAGGUGAACAGGCAGUGUGGGAAGGCGAGAGGAAGCAGGAGCUCGUCCCUCCUCCCAUGGCUUCCUUGUGGAUCGGAGUAUAAGGAGGACAACACGUGCCUGUUGCAGGCGGCUCGAGCAACGCGAACUAGGGUGCUUUGGAUGGUGGUCUUGAUAUUCCGCACAGUGACAAGAGAUUUGGUGGCUUCGAGACGGAUGAUAAGCAGUUGGACACUAAGAUUCACCGCAAAUUCAUUUAUGAAGAUCAUGUUGCUGACUGCAUGAAGUUAAUAGCUGAUGAGGAGACUGAGAAGUGCCAAUUUCACUUUAGUGGGUACAUCAAGAAGGGGAUUGCGGCUGAUGACAUGGAAGCACUGUACAAGAAGGUUCAUGCUGCCAUUUGUGCUGAUCCUACCAUGGCAAAAUCAACCAAGGAACCUCCGAAGACGCACAAGAGGUAGAUAUAUCUUGCUGUUUAUUAAAGUCAGACAGCUUAAUUCAACACUUCCAUUGGAUUGCAAGUUAACGGGACUGUUCGCUGCAAGUAUAAUCUCAAGAAGCAUUGAGGUAGGUACACAACUUGCCAUGUAUGUGAUGUUGCAGCUCAAAAUUAAGAUGUUGUCAAUCCAAUAAGAGAAGCCAAGGAGAUAUUGGCGAUCGUGUGGUGCGCGACCUUAUACUGGACCAUGAAGUUUACCAGUAUGUAGUAAUGGGUAUCAGUGUUUUCUCAUACUCAUGUAGUCCAUUCAUUCCUAAACUAUAUGUUCUUCUUUUGUUAAAACCUUGAAGUAUUAAGAUGUUAGGGUAAAUAAAUUCCUUCAGAAUCAAUAAUAGAAAAGUUUUGCUAUGCAAUAAGAUACAGUUGCAUGCAAAAAAUAAUCUUGUCUUAUAUAGUUAUAUAUCAAAACUAUGGAUUUGCUAUGCACUUCAUGUGAUCAUUAUUGUUCACUGUUUUUCUUCGGACUUUGUUCGACACCUACGGCAUCGUUGUGUCGGACGUGACGGACGCUGCCAGGUCCACGCCGACAUCGUGCUCAGGGAGCCUAGCCUCUUUGUCGUGUUCUCCAUCUUGCAGUGCAUGAUGAACUACAUUGUACAGUUCAGCUGUGUUUCCCCUAUUUUCUUCUACUAUAAGAGUUCUAACGAUUUGUACUGUUUGGCUGCAAAUUUAUGCCGUUUGCAUCACCAUAUGGAUAGUCGUAACAAAUGAAGAGAUUUCAGAGAGUUUCACAAUCUGACUUGAGUCACAAGCUAUAGGUUAACUUUAAUUGAAUGGUAGUAUGGGAGUAAAAAUCUAGAAAUGAUCUUGUUGAUCAUAUCGAUCUUCCUGGUAAUCUGCUCACCUAUGUUGUAUUAGUGGUGUUGGGUUAAAAAUCAAUAGUGAUAUUUAAAAAAGCUAAAGGUGAUUGUUGUAGUUACCGUGAUCCUCCAAGUGAAUCAUAAUAAUGAUGAGAAAACAUACCCAAAAAAACAUAAAAUGGAUUAAAAGGAAACCCACUUUCCAGGAUUGUGGUUUGAAGAGAGAAUGGAUGCAGGCUUUGUCUCAAAGAGAUUAUCUGACAAGAAUGAAUUAGUCAUCAACAAUUGAGAUGCAGCGAACCUUCUUACUUGCUCCACCUCCGGACUAUGUUAUUCUCUUUUUUUCUCCUUCGUUGUUGUGUCGUUCGACUGCAUCUUUAUUAGUUCAAACUCAUGCUUGUUUUAGCUAGGAUGAAUUUAGGAAUGGUUGCCAUUUCAUGGUACAGCUGAGCUGAUGUUGAGUAUGUGUUUGUCUGUAGCGGUUCAUUUCCUUCCUUUUCUUUCUGCAACAUUUCGCUCACUUGCUUAUAGAAAGAUUCAUCACAUAGGCCUUUAGCUUGAUUUUCCCGCAUACCAUGAGAACCAGCAUGACUUUGGAUAUAUGUUUCUGCAGGUUUCAAAAUGUAUCCAAGAUUGCAGGGAAGUUAAUUACACCAUCAGUGGAAGCUGGACAUAGCCCCUCAGGUAAUUUACAUGUUGGCAAGGACUUGUUGCUGCAGCCUGGUAAUAAUUGCUUGGCCAAUUUCCCAACCCAAAUCCAGAAACCGCUUCAUCUUUAGAUCUUUACGUGCUUUGAUGAAAUGCCUGAGUGACUAAGUUCUGCACUUUGUUUUUCUUUGUUUUGCUCACGGAUUAACCGAUGGCUGCAGGACCCAUGGAAGCAUUAGGAAUUGGUUCAUAACGUCUUCUAGUGUACGCGUAGACACAAUUCACUUUCCUUUUCUUUUCAAACUUUUUAUAGAUGAUGUGGUUGAGUUACUAAGCCUCUUCUUGCUGUGUCUUCGGCGAGACCGAAGGGUGUGAGCAAUUUCACUGAGGCUGAUGCAAUCUUUGGACCAGUAGUGACGCCGGUGCUUAUAUAUCCCAUGACUCGUUCUUUCAGCUCAAUAUCCAUACACUACUUGUUUGUAUUCUGUAUUCCAGUGCAAAUUAUGAUUGUUGCUAAACACUUCUGCAUGUAAGUGCACUACUCUCUGUACUAAAAAAAUGUCACUGCACUACCAGAAUGCUAGCAUGCAUUCAUUUUUACAAUUGUUCAUCUUAUUUCUUUGUUCGUCACUAAGAUUCAUCUAUGACCACCUCUUUGAGGAGAUCAACUAAUCUUCUUGUCGCAGUUUUUGUUGAAACAUUGAUUAGGUGCUCCAAGAAUGUAUGUGAGCUUGACAUUGUAUUUAACUUCCUCAAGGUACAAUGAUUCUCUUUAUUUGUUAUUUUAUUCUAGAUUGUCACUAUCAUAAUAAAUAAAGUCCAGAAUAACAUUGGUGUUUUUUUUUAUCCUAGCAUGUACUCCCUCCGUUCCUAAAUAUAAGUCUUUUUAGAAAUUUCAGUAAGGACUAUAUACAGAUGUAUACAGACAAGCAUACGCUUUUUUGUAGAUUAGUUGCAUAGUUUCAUAUGUUGAACUGCGUUGUUGAGUGUAGUGUGUAGGCUAUUUCUAGAUUUCUCAGCAGGCGAUCAACGCGGCACAUGUGGAGGCUUUGAGAGCUAUGAGCAGGAGCAGAAGACACAUUACUCUUCACGCCACUCUGAGCAGCCGAGAUGUUGACUGCUGCAUGAAUCCUGAGAUUGAUUUCCACGUUGUAAGGGAAGGGAAGCCUGUUUCAGUUCCUGUAUGAAAGGAUAAAGAAGAAGGGGCAUGCUGUCGUGAUAGUUGCUGAAUGUUUUGAUCAGGAGUUGAUUACCCAGACCGAUGACCAGAACCGAGAGAGCAGGAUGAGUAUGUCAACAUGAUGUUCCUUGAUAUUGGCCUUCUAUAAAGUUUACAUGCAAAUCUCCUCCAUGGUUAAAAAAACAAUUUAAACAUUUUGUUUCUUUGAUGGUUAUUCAUUUCUCUUACCUUUGUUGUAUCAAAAUAAUUGUAUUUUUGUUGAUGGCCGCUUGGGCUCAUUUUCUAGGAGAAUGAGAUGUGGGAUAAACUAAUCUAAAAUGUUUGGUUCCCUUCAAACAAUUUAUUAGCUAACUAAUUUCUGCUGUUGCUG